UCCCUGGUGGCUCAGAGGUUAAAGCAUCUGCCUGCAAUGUGGGAGACCUGGGUUCGAUCCCUAGGUCGGGAA
rnacentral:tRNA from 1 species